CAAAAUAAUCAAUUUAAUGUUUUUUCUCAGGCUAACAUGAUCAAGAAGACUGGAACUACCGUAGUUGGCACAAAUAAAAAGAAGUGGAAUUUUCAAGGAAAUUGAGGUCAAGUAUCGACUUCAACGUGCUCGACUUUUGGAUAGAUGAUUUCAUAAAGAUUUAUUGCAAAUUUACUGGAGAUUUUAAUUCCAUUUGAAUUAGGAGUUAAUUAGUUGGUUUUAUGUUGAGAUUAUUACAUUUAGUUAGAUUUCAAUUUUACUUGAGAUAGAAAAGAUAAUUUGUUUUGACAUUGUUUACUUUUACAGAAAACUUAUUAUAUUGCUAUUUUGUUCUUUGAUUAUAA